UACGUAGGGUCCGAGCGUUGUCCGGAAUUAUUGGGCGUAAAGGGCUCGUAGGCGGUUUGUUACGUCGGGAGUGAAAACUCAGGGCUCAACCCUGAGCGUGCUUUCGAUACGGGCAGACUAGAGGUAUUCAGGGGAGAACGGAAUUCCUGGUGUAGCGGUGGAAUGCGCAGAUAUCAGGAGGAACACCGGUGGCGAAGGCGGGUCUCUGGGCAGUAACUGACGCUGAGGAGCGAAAGCGUGGGGAGCGAACAGG
rnacentral:rRNA from 1 species